rnacentral:rRNA from 1 species
UACAGAGGUCUCAAGCGUUGUUCGGAUUCAUUGGGCGUAAAGGGUGUGUAGGUGGCGCGCUAAGUCGGGUGUGAAAUUUCGGAGCUUAACUCCGAAACUGCAUUCGAUACUGGCGUGCUUGAGGACUGGAGAGGAGACUGGAAUUCAUGGUGUAGCAGUGAAAUGCGUAGAGAUCAUGAGGAAAACCAGUGGCGAAGGCGGGUCUCUGGACAGUUCCUGACACUGAGACACGAAGGCCAGGGGAGCAAACGGG